UAGGGUUCCGGUUCCUCCACGUACCCCAUUCCCGAAACGACAUAACGUAGGGAAAUGUCGAUUAAAUCUACCUGAUCAUCCCAUCACGCUAACACACACCUGUUACAAAUCCAAUUACUCCUCCAUUAUACGCCUCUCCGAACACACGCAUCGGUUCCUGAUUAACAAAAAUCCAAGUAUAUCUUCCACAAAACGGAUUGCAAUUAUUAACCGACGAACACACAAUUUCCCAAAUUCUUCACCGCAAAUAUUCAGAAUACCAAGUCAAAUAAGAACGACAUCAUUCACCCUUAGGCCAUCAUCAUCUUCCCACUGGUAUGUUUUCUACAUUAACCCUAAUAUGAUUUCAAUUAUUUCCUACUUUUUACCGUCAAUCUGUCGAUGUAUUUUAUUCUCCUGUUAAAAUCUAUUUGACUGUUGUGUUUCCUCCGAUCUCCAUUUGGUGAAAUAUCCGUUCAGGUAUUAUUUUGAUUCUCGAGAGUUUACAUGUUUUUCAGUUGUAAUUAUCAUGAACGACUGCAAUAAGGGAAAAUAUUGCUCAGAAUUUGUUCCAUUGGUUGCUUUUACAUUGUAUACCCUUGAGAUUCAUAUAUAUAAAAGUGCAGAAUUUUUACCAAAAAUGCAUAUCAUAUUGCAUUAUUUUUUUCCCUUUUUGUUUUCAAUCGUGAAAAGUGGAAUUGAAAUUCCUUCAAACAAAUAUAUGAGAGAUUACAUUCCAUAUAUCUUGAUAUCCACAUUAAUUUCAAAUUAUGUGGUCUAUUUAAAUCCUCCCACUUUUGACAGCAUUCAAGAAGGAAAAUAAGUAAUCAUAUUGUAGAAAUUACUGCAGUUUUCCUCAAAUGCCUGAAAAUUUUCUAGCAGACAAAGAAUUUGAAUUUAGUAGUAGGUAAAUAACAUGAAAAUUUUACUUAGAUGAUAAAGUUUUAAUUUUUGAUACAAGAUUCUUAGCUAUAUUUAGAGAACUAUUAGGAAAUCUCAUCUAUCUACCACUAUCAUAUUUAAAAGUAAAUAACUUGAAGAAAAUAUCAUAUUUGACGACUAUUCUCUUGUUUUCCCGACUAGAAGCGAGGGUUUAGGUUUCAUAAUUCUGCAAUUUAAUUUUCAUAGCUAGGUAACGUUAUUUUAUUAUUAUGCAAAAAGAAAUAAAAAAAUUAUACUUCACCAUAUAGUUUCGUUUGUUGGAUUUGUUUAGUAUUUGAAAUAUUUAUUUUAUAAGUCUUUAAAAGUUUUUUUUUGGUUUUCCGGUUGGGUUUCAUUUUGAAAUGCCUAUGGAAGAAAAUGGUAAACAAAAGAAAUGUAUAUUUGCUUGUGAUUCUGGAUGAAGUUUGGCUGUGUUUGGGUUUACCAAAUACAUAUAUGACCUAUAUUUACCAAAAUGUAAUACAUUUGUUGAACAAUGAGGAUUUGGUGAUGGUAUGUAAGUGGUGGUGGGCAAACUACCCGGAUGAAACUUUUUUUCAUAUUCUAAAUACUAAGUAACAUGCAUUUCUUUUUUUCACCAUUUACUAAUGAAUGGAUUUAGAGAUCAUAUGUUUGACAACCACCUUUUCUCAAGUUUCUAUUAAUUAAAUAUGCUACUCACAAUGCACUGCUUUUGGUAUGUAAUUAGUUAUACAUAUUCUGGUUGGUAACUAUGACAUAAUCGAAGAUGUACAAAAGAAUACAAGAACUGACCUGAAGUUUGAUUUUUUUUUUUCGUUUAUUUUCCUUGCUAUGAACUUUCCAGUUUAUGCUUUAAUUGAAUUAGCAGGUUUGUCUUUCUUUUUACUUUUUUUUCCUUUACUUUUUUUUUUUUCUUUUCAGUGUUCAUGAUUUCUAAAACCCAAACUUUGGGUUUUAAAACUGAUUCGACUAUGUCAUAGUUGUGAAGUUGAAGAGAAGUAAAGUGGUUGACUUUUUUCCUUUAUCUUAUAAUAAUGAUAAUAUAAUGAAAAUUGAUGAUAUAGUUGAAUCUCCUAUUUGGAAUGACAAUCUUCUGAGCUGAAUUUUUGUUAAUUUUUUGGUUAAAUCCAAUACACAAGAUGCUGAUGGCUGAUGUUCAUACAAAGCAAAAUUACUGAAGAAAAUAUUCAAUGGAUCAUGAUAGCAAGUAAAAUCUUGAUCAAUUCCGAAAAAAAAAAAAAUAGUAAUAACAUGCCCAAUAAAGAAAAUGUAAGAUGUAUGAAUUUUUUUGGUUUCUGUUGGCAUUUUUAUGUAA
rnacentral:lncRNA from 1 species